CUUGGCGCUUUCGGGGCCAAACAUUCCCCCCCCGGUUUUCCCCUCAGCGGCGGCUAAUCCACCCGCCGCCGCCGCCGCCACCAUCCCCGCUGCCGAGCCGGUCGAGUUGAUUGACGGCGAUGAAGUGGCGGUGGUUGAGGGGCCUGAAGAGAAUGGACUUGUACAGUUGGAGGAUUUAACUAACGAUUUGACAUACUCAUCGUUUUUGAGCUCCGAUGGGAGCC
rnacentral:misc_RNA from 1 species